AUGAACGCUAGCUACAGGCUUAACACAUGCAAGUCGAGGGGCAGCAUGGUCUUAGCUUGCUAAGGCCGAUGGCGACCGGCGCACGGGUGAGUAACGCGUAUCCAACCUGCCUUACACUCUUGGACAGCCUUCUGAAAGGGAGAUUAAUACAAGAUGUUAUCAUGAGUAAGCAUUUUCGCAUGAUUAAAGGUUUACCGGUGUAAGAUGGGGAUGCGUUCCAUUAGAUAGUAGGCGGGGUAACGGCCCACCUAGUCUUCGAUGGAUAGGGGUUCUGAGAGGAAGGUCCCCCACAUUGAAACUGAGACACGGUCCAAACUCCUACGGGAGGCAGCAAUGAGGAAUAUUGGUCAAUGGACGAGAGUCUGAACCAGCCAAGUAGCGUGAAGGAUGAAGGUUCUAUGGAUUGUAAACUUCUUUUAUACGGGAAUAAACGGAUCCACGUGUGGAUUUUUGCAUGUACCGUAUGAAUAAGGAUCGGCUAACUCCGUGCCAGCAGCCGCGGUAAUACGGAGGAUCCGAGCGUUAUCCGGAUUUAUUGGGUUUAAAGGGAGCGUAGAUGGGUUGUUAAGUCAGUUGUGAAAGUUUGCGGCUCAACCGUAAAAUUGCAAUUGAUACUGGCAGUCUUGAGUACAGUUGAGGUAGGCGGAAUUCGUGGUGUAGCGGUGAAAUGCUUAGAUAUCACGAAGAACUCCGAUUGCGAAGGCAGCUUACUAACCUGUAACUGACAUUGAUGCUCGAAAGUGUGGGUAUCAAACAGGAUUAGAUACCCUGGUAGUCCACACGGUAAACGAUGAAUACUCGCUGUAGGCGAUAUACAGUCUGCGGCCAAGCGAAAGCAUUAAGUAUUCCACCUGGGGAGUACGCCGGCAACGGUGAAACUCAAAGGAAUUGACGGGGGCCCGCACAAGCGGAGGAACAUGUGGUUUAAUUCGAUGAUACGCGAGGAACCUUACCCGGGCUUAAAUUGCAACCGAAUAUGGCGGAAACGCUAUAGCUAGCAAUAGCGGUUGUGAAGGUGCUGCGUGGUUGUCGUCAGCUCGUGCCGUGAGGUGUCGGCUUAAGUGCCAUAACGAGCGCAACCCUUGCCGAUAGUUACUAACAGGUUAUGCUGAGGACUCUGUCGGGACUGCCAUCGUAAGAUGUGAGGAAGGUGGGGAUGACGUCAAAUCAGCACGGCCCUUACGUCCGGGGCUACACACGUGUUACAAUGGGGGGUACAGAGGGCUGCUACCACGCAAGUGGAUGCCAAUCCCAAAAACCUCUCUCAGUUCGGAUUGAAGUCUGCAACCCGACUUCAUGAAGCUGGAUUCGCUAGUAAUCGCGCAUCAGCCACGGCGCGGUGAAUACGUUCCCGGGCCUUGUACACACCGCCCGUCAAGCCAUGGGAGCCGGGGGUACCUGAAGUGCGUAACCGCAAGGAGCGCCCUAGGGUAAAACUGGUGACUGGGG
rnacentral:rRNA from 1 species